rnacentral:lncRNA from 1 species
CUGCAGCUAUCAGCAAGGCCAGCCCAGAGAAAGAAAGGCAACAAUAGACCAACAAAGAUGCCAUAGGCCACGCCUUCCUGCUUCAUCCUCCUCCUGUAUCCCUUCAUUCUCCUUCUCCUCUUUCCUCCCCUCCCAAUCUCCUUCCUUCCCUCAUUCCUCCACUUUCGUCUCUUUGCUAUUUCUAGAAAGAAUCUUUUGUCUUGCUAGGCAGAGCAUUUAUAACAAAGGAAAGACAGGAGGCGUAGAUGAUGAAGCAGAGUAGAGCACUUUUAACUGCAGGAGUGUUAGGAUAUGAACACUGCUGUUAGGAUAGAAAAGAGAAAAUCCUCAGAAAUUUUUUUUUUUCCAGAGCAAGAGAAAAUCCAGUGACUGAAAAAGAAUAAGAAGAAAAACACUGACCAAGGCAAUAAUUCCAAGAAGUCAAAAAUUAAGGCUCGAGAAGAAGAAGGCAGACUAAAAAGAGUAGGUGAGACAGUGACCUGAACCAAAGUGCUGGCUCCAUGCUCUGUGACGUUGGGCAUCCUCACUGCCCUCGGAAGCAUGGUCUUGGUGACACUGGUCAGGUGCAUGAAGUGUUAGAAAAUUUUAUUAAAGAUUCCAUGGUUGCA